rnacentral:tRNA from 2 species
GCGGCUUUAGCUCACUUGGGAGAGCGUCAGACUGAAGCGUCAUGUUCUUCAUGCAAUCUGAAGGCACUGUGUUCGAUCCACAGAAGCCGCA